UAAUACGUAGGGGGCAAGCGUUGUCCGGAUUUAUUGGGCGUAAAGAGCGUGUAGGCGGCCAGACAGGUCCGUUGUGAAAACUCGAGGCUCAACCUCGAGAUGUCGAUGGAAACCGUCUGGCUAGAGUCCGGAAGAGGAGUGUGGAAUUCCUGGUGUAGCGGUGAAAUGCGCAGAUAUCAGGAAGAACACCUAUGGCGAAGGCAGCACUCUGGGACGGUACUGACGCUGAGACGCGAAAGCGUGGGGAGCGAACAGGAUUAGAUACCCUGGUAGUCCACGCCGUAAACGAUGGAUGCUAGGUGUGGGCGGUGUCGACUCCGUCCGUGCCGAAGCUAACGCAUUAAGCAUCCCGCCUGGGGAGUACGGCCGCAAGGCUA
rnacentral:rRNA from 1 species